UCUGUUGAAAUGUAAUCACCA
rnacentral:miRNA from 1 species